rnacentral:rRNA from 1 species
CGGCGGACGGGUGAGUAACGCGUGGGUAACCUACCCUGUACACACGGAUAACAUACCGAAAGGUAUGCUAAUACGGGAUAAUAUAUUUGAGAGGCAUCUCUUGAAUAUCAAAGGUGAGCCAGUACAGGAUGGACCCGCGUCUGAUUAGCCAGUUGGUAAGGUAACGGCUUACCAAGGCGACGAUCAGUAGCCGACCUGAGAGGGUGAUCGGCCACAUUGGAACUGAGACACGGUCCAA